rnacentral:rRNA from 1 species
GACGAACGCUGGCGGCGUGCCUAAUACAUGCAAGUAGAACGCACAGUUUAUACCUUAUCUUGCUACACCAUAUACUGUGAGUUGCGAACGGGUUAGUAACGCGUAGGUAACCUGCCUGGUAGCGUGAGAUAACUAUUGGAAACGAUAGCUAAUACCUCAUAAUAUUGAUUAUUGCAUGAUAAUUAAUUGAAAUUGGCAAUUGCACCACUACCAGAUGGACCGGCGUUGUAUUAGCUAGUAGGUGAGGUAAGGGCUUACCUUGGCGACGAGACAUAGCCGAUCUGAAAGGGAGAUCGGAUACACGGGGAGAGAGAAAGGGCCGCGACUCUUAGGGGGGGCAGCAGCCGGGACUCUUCGGGAAUGGACGAAAGUGUGAUAGAGCACAGUGGCGUGAGUGAUGAAGGUUUUAGGCUCGUAAAGUUAUGUUGUAAGAGGAGAAGGAGUGUGAGAGUGGCCAGUAUAAAAUGGAAAGGAACGGUAGAAGAAAGGCAGGGUAAAUCAGGG